UACGUAGGGGGCUAGCGUUGUCCGGAAUCAUUGGGCGUAAAGAGCGUGUAGGCGGCCCGGUAAGUCCGCUGUGAAAGUCGGGGGCUCAACCCUCGAAUGCCGGUGGAUACUGUCGGGCUAGAGUGCGGAAGAGGCGAGUGGAAUUCCUGGUGUAGCGGUGAAAUGCGCAGAUAUCAGGAGGAACACCAAUUGCGAAGGCAGCUCGCUGGGACGUAACUGACGCUGAGACGCGAAAAGCCGUGGGGAGCAAACAGG
rnacentral:rRNA from 1 species